GAUGAACGCUGGCGGCGUGCCUAACACAUGCAAGUCGAGCGCACGGACGAGAAGCUUGCUCCUAUGAUGUUAGCGGCGGACGGGUGAGUAACAUGUGGAUAACCUACCUAUAAGACUGGGAUAACUACGGGGAACAGGCGCUAAUACCGGAUAAUAUUUUGAACAGCAUGGUUCAAACGUGAAAGACGGUCUUGCUGUCACUUAUAGCUGGAUCCGCGCUGCAUUAGCUAGUUGGUAAGGUAACGGCUUACCAAGGCAACGAGGCAUAGCCGACCUGAGAGGGUGAUCGGCCACACUGUAACUGAGACACGGUCCAGACUCCUACGGGAGGCAGCAGUAGGGAAUCUUCCGCAAUGGGCGAGAGCCUGACGGAGCAACGCCGCGUGAGUGAUGAAGGUCUUCGGAUCGUAAAGCUCUGUUAUUAGGAAAGAACAUAUGUGUAUUUAGCUGUGCACAUCUUGACGGUACCUAAUCAAGAAGCCACGGCUAACUACGUG
rnacentral:rRNA from 1 species